GAUGAACGCUGGCGGCGUGCUUAACACAUGCAAGUCGAACGGAAAGGCCCAAGCUUGCUUGGGUACUCGAGUGGCGAACGGGUGAGUAACACGUGGGUGAUCUGCCCUGCACUUCGGGAUAAGCCUGGGAAACUGGGUCUAAUACCGGAUAGGACGAUGGUUUGGAUGCCAUUGUGGAAAGUUUUUUCGGUGUGGGAUGAGCUCGCGGCCUAUCAGCUUGUUGGUGGGGUAAUGGCCUACCAAGGCGUCGACGGGUAGCCGGCCUGAGAGGGUGUACGGCCACAUUGGGACGUAGAUAAGGCCCAGACUCCCAAGGGGGGCAGCAGUGGGGAAUAUUGCACAAUGGGCGCAAGCCUGAUGCAGCGACGCCGCGUGGGGGAUGACGGCCUUCGGGUUGUAAACUCCUUUCGCUAGGGACGAAGCGUUUUUGUGACGGUACCUGGAGAAGAAGCACCGGCUAACUACGUG
rnacentral:rRNA from 1 species